AUUUGAUCGUAAACUGGAGGUGCCAAGCUGUGACAGCUUCCUCAACUUCAGAGCCAUUUGCUACAAUCUAGGACAGCCCCAUGUUCAAUGAUGCUUUCCUUUUCCAUCAACAGGGGCAAAUUGAAGUAGACAGCGAAACCAUCUUCAAGUUAGCAGCGUUUAUUUUACAGGAAGCCAAGGGAGAUUAUACCAGUGAUGAAAAUGCCAGGAAAGAUUUAAAGACAUUACCAGCCUUUCCAACCAAAACUCUUCAGGAGCAUCCAUCCCUUGCCUACUGUGAGGACAGGGUAAUUGAGCAUUAUUUGAAAAUCAAAGGUCUCACUCGGGGUCAAGCUGUGGUUCAGUAUAUGAAAAUAGUAGAAGCUCUACCAACUUAUGGUGUCCAUUAUUAUGCAGUAAAGGAUAAGCAAGGACUUCCUUGGUGGCUUGGAAUCAGCUAUAAGGGAAUUGGCCAAUAUGAUAUACAAGACAAGGUGAAGCCUCGGAAGUUAUUCCAAUGGAAACAGCUGGAGAACUUAUAUUUCCGUGAGAAAAAAUUUGCUGUUGAAGUUCAUGAUCCACGAAGG
rnacentral:sRNA from 1 species